rnacentral:rRNA from 1 species
UACGUAGGGUGCGAGCGUUAAUCGGAAUUACUGGGCGUAGAGCGUGCGCAGGCGGUUUUGUAAGCCAGAUGUGAAAUCCCCGGGCUUAACCUGGGAACUGCAUUUGGGACUGCAAGGCUUGAGUGCGGCAGAGGAGACUGGAAUUCCUGGUGUAGCAGUGAAAUGCGUAGAUAUCAGGAGGAACACCGAUGGCGAAGGCAGGUCUCUGGGCCACUACUGACGCUGAGAAGCGAAAGCAUGGGGAGCAAACAGG